GCCCCUGUAGCUCAGAGGAUAGAGCACCAGCCUCCGGAGCUGGGGGCGAGAGUUCGAGUCUCUCCAGGGGCGC
rnacentral:tRNA from 1 species